AUUAAGACUAAAGUAGAUUAGUUAUAUAACUUAUAUAUAAGUGUGUUACAUAUCCACCAUCAUUGUUAAGGAAAAAGAAAGAAAGGUGAAAAUGGAUAGUGGUAAGAACAAGAAGGCUGAGAACUCUCAAACAAAUAUGUCCACCUCCAAUGUCUCCUCUUUUUCACUUACAAAACAUGAAUUUUCCAUCAUUAAUAGUCGUGAAGUGUACACAGAGAGCACGGUAAGGGAAGUCAAACUUGAUCCUCCAACACCAGCAGUCAAAUCUGGGAAGAUUGGUCAAGUUCACAACUCUCAUUCUUAAGUCUUCCAAAAAUCACAAAAUAACAGAAGUCAUGUUAUGUAGUUGUUACAUGUUUGAAUAAAAUUAUCAGCGCGACGGUGUAGGAGAGGAAGUACAAGUUUAUCACUUCGAUCAAUACGGCUUUGUAGAUCUUGAUUUGAAUGUAAUGUCUCAUUAAGUAAGUAAUGCAAGUAGAAGUAUUUAUUUUCA